UACGUAGGCAGCGAGCGUUGUUCGGAGUUACGGGGCGUAAGGGGUGUGUGGGCGGUUGUUUAAGUUUGGUGUGAAAUCUCCCGGCUCAACUGGGAGGGUGCGCCGAAUACUGAAUGACUAGAGUGCGGGAGAGGAAAGUGGAAUUCCUGGUGUAGCGGUGAAAUGCGUAGAUAUCCGCAGGAACAUCCGAGGCGAAAGCGGCUCGCUGGAUCACAACUGACGCUGAGGGACGAAAGCUAGGGGAGCAAACAGG
rnacentral:rRNA from 1 species